rnacentral:lncRNA from 1 species
AACUGGCGGCUCUGUCUAAUUCGGCCCAAUCGCAUUAAAAUCAAACUUUACAACUCAUCGACAUCCAUGUCGUUCUUUUCUAAAAAUACACCUUUGCAAGAUAAAUCAACAUAGAUCACAUAAAGGGUAGUAAACCAAAACUAGGAAAGGAAAAAACAUGGCGUCGACGAGUGGCGACUCUGUUGGGGAUAGUAGAGGGCUUAAGCCGCAUUUCAAUCUUUUCA